GCUGCUUGCUCACCUUCUCGUCCCCUGAGGCUCCAGAGGCCUGACCCUGAGCCCCAGCAUGGCAGCACCAAGAAGCACAGAGGAACUCUGUGUGUGCACAUCAGAUACUCACUGAAGACUGAAAUGAAAGACCAGUACCCUUAAAAUUUAGUGCAAAGUAUCAUGUGGUGUGGAAAGUUAGGUGAGGAGAGCAGUUAAAUAGGGCAUGAUUUGCAACCCUUGAUUUCAGUCUUAUGAGGACACAGGCAACUAAGGAGAAAAUAACAGAACAAAGUCAGAAGUCCCAAGCCAGAGGGAUCCACAGAAUAUAAGGGGGAACUCGGAGAAGAUGCUGAAUUCAAGACAGGGGGAAAGAACUGAACUGUCCGUGAAGAUUUCCUUGAGUUCGGCAAAAGAAAGAGAGUAAGAGGUAUAAAGAGAUGAGUGUUCCAGAAUUGGAGGAUGCACCUUACUCAAGUAUACAGCUUUGCCCAAAAACAGUACAGUCAUGGCGACAACACAGAUGCUUUAAAAAUUCAACAUAAAGAUCAUCUUUCUAGUAGAAAAAAACAAAACAGGAGUUGUCUAGCAUAACCAGGACUGCCAAGAAUAAAGGGGAAACCAAAAGGAGAGAAUCCACAAAGUAAGAAACUCUAAAUUCUGUGUAUAGACUCAGCUCAAGUGUCUGGCACACCCCUGAACCAUGCAUGUGUGGGGCAAACAAAGAAGUUUGCAGCCAAGGCUUAAAGAACUGAACUGAGAUACAAGCUAUCACAGCAGGGCAGGGUGGAGUUGGGUCUAACCAACUUCAUGACCUAAAACAAAAAUCUCAAUGCAGCUCAAAACAAUAAUAAAACAGAAUCCAAAGUCUCCACAACAAAACCUUUACGAAGUCAAGGUUAUAAUCCAAAAUCACUCGGUAUGUGAAGAGUCGGGAAAAUGUGACCAUUCCCAGGGAAAAGGAGAACCAAUAGAUGCCAAUCCAGAGAGGACUUGUAUGUUGGAAUUUUCAGACAAGGACUUGAAAGCAGCUAUAAUAACUAUGCUCAUUGAGGUCAAAGAAAAUAUGCUUCUAAUUGAUGUAGUAAAAAAAAAUCAACUAGAAAACGUAAAAAGACCAAAUGGACACUUUAGAACAGAAAAAUACAUUGCCUCAAAUUUUAGAAAAUUACUAGAGUGAAGAAAAGAAUGGAGAUGACAAAAAAAGGAGUCAGUGAACUUGAAGACACAUUAACAGAAGUUCAAUAAGAAUAAGAUAAAGACUGAAAGUAACAAAUGGAGCUUCCUGAAAUGAUGGCACAAUUUCUAAUGCCUAACAUAGGGACACUGGAAUCACAGAAGGAAGGUUAAAGAAACUAGAGCAGGAAAAGAGUCAAAGAUUUAACGGCUCAAAAUUUCCAAAAUUUGGUAAAAGACAUACAUUUACAAAUUCAAGAAUCUCAGCAAACCCCAAACAAUAAAUUCAGAGAGAAAUAUACAUUGUUAUAUCCUAGUCAAACUACUGGAAACCACAAAUAAGGAAAAAAUCUUGAAAGCAAUCCUGUUACAUAUAGGGGAACAAUAAUUUGAAUUACCAUGGAUUUCUCAUCAAAAACGAUGGCAGCCAGAAAACAGUGCUAAAAGAAACUGUCAUCCUGGAACGCUCUACUUAAUUUUCAUUAUUGAAUUAGAGAACUUCGUUUCAGAUAAAGGAAAACUAACUGAAUUUGUCCCAAUAUGAGCUGCACUACACAAAAUGCUAAAUAAAAGGUCUUCAGGCUGAAGAGAGAGGAUACCAGAGAGAAACAGAU